UACAGGGGGGGGCAAGCGUUGUUCGGAAUUACUGGGCGUAAAGGGCCAGUAGGCGGCCGACUAAGUCCGACGUGAAAUCCCCCAGGCUUAACCCUGGGAACUGCGUCGGAUACUGGUUGGCUUGAAUUCGGGGAGAGGGAUGCAGAAUUCCAGGUGUAGCGGUGAAAAUGCGUAGAUAUCUGGAGGAAUACCGGUGGCGAAGGCGGCAUC
rnacentral:rRNA from 1 species